GGAGGGAUGGCCGAGCGGUCGAAGGCGGCGGUCUUGAAAACCGCAGUAGGGGAAACUCUACCGGGGGUUCGAAUCCCUCUCCCUCCGCCA
rnacentral:tRNA from 1 species